rnacentral:SRP_RNA from 1 species
CGAUAGAUAUGCUCGUCCAGAAGCUCAAGGCAAACGGCUCCCCAGAUGCUGCCAGGCUUGAGACUUUGAAACCAGCCGCGCAUCUUGCACGCAGCGACUCACCGGUAGAUUCUCUGCGCAGGCAAAGCCGCCAGAAGCAGCACAGUUCAGCAGCGAGGGAGCUCGGAUCACAGCC